ACAAUUGUACAUAAAAAAAAACGCAUAUAAAACAAAAUUGACAAAAUUGAUAGUUCAACCAUAUCAAAGGAUCAUCUACCCCCUGAUUGACACGGUAGUAUAAGGGGAUGCAAUAAUAUUUUGUUUUUGUUUUAAUGGUUCUGA